rnacentral:lncRNA from 1 species
ACGCCCCCCACCAAGGCUAUAGCCCACCCGUUUUUUGGCCAUUUUUCCGCGGGGGGGUCUUGGCGCCCGGACUUUCGGGGGCUGAUUUUUGGGCGCGGCUGUGCCCGUGGCCUAUUUUUGGCACACGGAGGCCGCCCGCAAAGUAUGGGGCCAUUCCGAGUCCGGCGGACGAACUUCGCCCACGCCCCCCACCAAAGCUAUAGCCCACCCGUUUUUUGGCCAUUUUUCCGCUGGGGGUUCUUGGCCCGCCGACUUUCGGGUGCUGAUUUUUGGGUGCAGCUGUGCCCGUGGCCUAUUUUUGGCACACGGAGGCCGCCCGCAAAGUCUGGGGCCAUUCCGAGUCCGGCGGACGAACUUCGCCCACGCCACCCACCAAGGCUAUAGCCCACCCGUUUUUUGGCCAUUUUUCCGCUGGGGGGUCUUGGCGCCCCGACCUUCGGGGGCUGAUUUUUGGGCGCGGCUGUACCCGUGGCCUAUUUUUGGCACACGGAGUACGCCCGCAAAGUCUGGGGCCAUUCCGAGUCCGGCGGACGAACUUCGCCCACGCCCCCCACCAAGGCUAUCGCCCACCCGUUUCUUGGCCAUUUUUCCGCAGGGGGGUCUUGGCGCCCCGACCUUCGGGGGCUGAUUUUUGGGCGCGGCUGUAUCCGUGGCCUAUUUUUGGCACACGGAGUACGCCCACAAAGUCUGGGGCCAUUCCGAGUCCGGCGGACGAACUUCGCCGACGCCCCCCACCAAGGCUAUAGCCCACCCGUUUUUUGGCCAUUUUUCCGCGGGGGGGUCUUGGCGCCCGGACUUUCGGGGGCUGAUUUUUGGGCGCGGCUGUGCCCGUGGCCUAGUUUUGGCACACGGAGGCCGCCCGCAAAGUCUGGGGCCAUUCCGAGUCCGGCGGACGAACUUCGCCCACGCCCCCCACGAAGGCUAUAGCCCAUCCGUUUUUUGGCCAUUUUUCCGCUGGGGGAUCUUGGCGCCCCGACCUUCGGGGGCUGAUUUUUGGGCGCAGCUGUGCCCGUGAACUAUUUUUGGCACACGUAGGCCGCCCACAAAGUCUGGGGCCAUUCCGAGUCCGGCGGACGAACUUCGCCCACGCCUCCCACCAAGGCUAUAGCCCACCCGUUUUUUGGCCAUUUUUCCGCUGGGGGGUCUUGGCGCCCCGACCUUCGGGGGCUGAU